rnacentral:rRNA from 1 species
UACGGGGGGGGCAAGCGUUGUUCGGAAUUACUGGGCGUAAAGGGCUCGUAGGUGGCCAACUAAGUCAGACGUGAAAUCCCUCGGCUUAACCGGGGAACUGCGUCUGAUACUGGAUGGCUUGAGUUUGGGAGAGGGAUGCGGAAUUCCAGGUGUAGCGGUGAAAUGCGUAGAUAUCUGGAGGAACACCGGUGGCGAAGGCGGCGUCCUGGACCAACACUGACGCUGAGGAGCGAAAGCCAGGGGAGCAAACGGG